UUAGAGUUUGAUCCUGGCUCAGGACGAACGCUGGCGGCGUGCUUAACACAUGCAAGUCGAACGAUGAAGCCUAGCUUGCUAGGUGGAUUAGUGGCGAACGGGUGAGUAAUACGUGAGUGACCUACCUUUGACUCUGGGAUAAGCCUGGGAAACUGGGUCUAAUAUCGGAUACGACCAAUCUCCGCAUGGGGUGUUGGUGGAAAGCGUUAUGGAGUGGUUUUAGAUGGGCUCACGGCCUAUCAGCUUGUUGGUGAGGUAAUGGCUUACCAAGGCGACGACGGGUAGCCGGCCUGAGAGGGUGACCGGCCACACUGGGACUGAGACACGGCCCAGACUCCUACGGGAGGCAGCAGUGGGGAAUAUUGCACAAUGGGCGCAAGCCUGAUGCAGCGACGCCGCGUGAGGGAUGACGGCCUUCGGGUUGUAAACCUCUGUUAGCAUCGAAGAAGCGAAAGUGACGGUAGGUGCAGAGAAAGCGCCGGCUAACUACGUGCCAGCAGCCGCGGUAAUACGUAGGGCGCGAGCGUUGUCCGGAAUUAUUGGGCGUAAAGAGCUUGUAGGCGGUUGGUCGCGUCUGCUGUGAAAGGCUGGGGCUUAACCCUGGUUUUGCAGUGGGUACGGGCUAACUAGAGUGCAGUAGGGGAGACUGGAAUUCCUGGUGUAGCGGUGGAAUGCGCAGAUAUCAGGAGGAACACCGAUGGCGAAGGCAGGUCUCUGGGCUGUAACUGACGCUGAGAAGCGAAAGCAUGGGGAGCGAACAGGAUUAGAUACCCUGGUAGUCCAUGCCGUAAACGUUGGGCACUAGGUGUGGGGGACAUUCCACGUUUUCCGCGCCGUAGCUACGCAUUAAGUGCCCCGCCUGGGGAGUACGGCCGCAAGGCUAAAACUCAAAGAAAUUGACGGGGGCCCGCACAAGCGGCGGAGCAUGCGGAUUAAUUCGAUGCAACGCGAAGAACCUUACCAAGGCUUGACAUAUACUGGACUGCGUCAGAGAUGGCGUUUCCCUUCGGGGCUGGUAUACAGGUGGUGCAUGGUUGUCGUCAGCUCGUGUCGUGAGAUGUUGGGUUAAGUCCCGCAACGAGCGCAACCCUCGUUCUAUGUUGCCAGCACGUGAUGGUGGGGACUCAUAGGAGACUGCCGGGGUCAACUCGGAGGAAGGUGGGGAUGACGUCAAAUCAUCAUGCCCCUUAUGUCUUGGGCUUCACGCAUGCUACAAUGGCCGGUACAGAGGGUUGCGAUACUGUGAGGUGGAGCUAAUCCCUAAAAGCCGGUCUCAGUUCGGAUUGGGGUCUGCAACUCGACCCCAUGAAGUCGGAGUCGCUAGUAAUCGCAGAUCAGCAACGCUGCGGUGAAUACGUUCCCGGGCCUUUACACACCGCCCGUC
rnacentral:rRNA from 1 species